UGGCUCCUGGAGCUUACCGGGGACUGUGUCCUCACACCAACUGUAUAGACGGAGGAGGGGCAGUGGACCUACCCCACAUCCACCCAGCCCGGGCCCUGUGCCUAGUUUAUAUUGUGAAGGGGGGAACAUGG
rnacentral:snoRNA from 1 species